CUUAGAUAUUUUAAAUACAAAAAAUAUUCGCCAGAGAAUUACGAGCUAAACAUGCUUAAAACUCUAAGGACUUGGCGGUACCUCAAACCCACCUAGAGGAGCCUGUUCUAUAAUCGACAAUCCACGAUUCACCUCACCAUCUCUUGCCAACUCCGCCUAUAUACCGCCGUCACAGCUUACCUUAUGAAAGAUAAAAAGUUAGCAAAAUAAUCUAAAUAAUUAACAAAUCAGGUCAAGGUGUAGCUUACUGAGAUGGAAGAAAUGGGCUACAUUUUCUAUACUAGAAAUAACUACGGAAAGAUACCUUGAAACAGGUUCUAUAAGCAGGAUUUAGCAGUAAACUGGGAAAAGAGAGCCCAA
rnacentral:rRNA from 1 species